rnacentral:rRNA from 1 species
AGCGAACGCUGGCGGCAGGCCUAACACAUGCAAGUCGAACGAACCUUUCGGGGUUAGUGGCGGACGGGUGAGUAACACGUGGGAACGUGCCUUUAGGUUCGGAAUAACUCAGGGAAACUUGUGCUAAUACCGAAUGUGCCCUUCGGGGGAAAGAUUAAUCGCCUUUAGAGCGGCCCGCGUCUGAUUAGCUAGUUGGUUGAGGUAAUGGCUCACCAAGGCGACGAUCAGUAGCUGGUCUGAGAGGAUGAUCAGCCACAUUGGGACUGAGACACGGCCCAAACCCCUGCGGGGGGCGGAAGUGGGGAAUUUUGCGCAGGGGGGAAAAGCCUGACGCAGCCAUGCCGCGUGAAGGAGGAAGGUCUUAGAAUUGAAAAAUUCUUUCACCGGGAACGAUAAUGGCGGGACCCGGAGAAAAAGCCCCGGCUAACUUCGU